rnacentral:rRNA from 1 species
CAUGCAAGUCGAGCGGCAGCGGAAAGUAGCUUGCUACUUUGCCGGCGAGCGGCGGACGGGUGAGUAAUGUCUGGGAAACUGCCUGAUGGAGGGGGAUAACUACUGGAAACGGUAGCUAAUACCGCAUAACGUCGCAAGACCAAAGAGGGGGACCUUCGGGCCUCUUGCCAUCAGAUGUGCCCAGAUGGGAUUAGCUAGUAGGUGGGGUAACGGCUCACCUAGGCGACGAUCCCUAGCUGGUCUGAGAGGAUGACCAGCCACACUGGAACUGAGACACGGUCCAGACUCCUACGGGAGGCAGCAGUGGGGAAUAUUGCACAAUGGGCGCAAGCCUGAUGCAGCCAUGCCGCGUGUAUGAAGAAGGCCUUCGGGUUGUAAAG